rnacentral:rRNA from 1 species
AUGGAGCUUAUUUACUUGGCCACUCUUAUGGUUUUAUUUUAUCUAUACUUGAUAACUCAAGAGCUAAUGUUAGGUUCUACCAUAUUGAUUUUUAGCUCCGGUUUAUUAGGUUCUGCUGUGGGUAGAGGAGCAAUUAGUGUUCUCAGUUUAUCUAAUGAACGUCUGUUGACGCAUGCAAACGAUUCCAGGAAUAUUUGGAUGGUUGAUGAGUUUCCCAUGUUUGAUGAAAUUUUACCUUUUCAAAAUCGGCCGAGGCUUGUGAGAAUAGCACCGCUGAACUGGUGGACACUUCUAUUUCAUCAUGAUGAUGGUUCAGGAACGCAGGGUGGGCGAAAGAAAACUAUGAUCGCUUUUAUCUCUGGUCAUUUGGAGCAUAUAUGGAGGGACAAAGACAGCGGGCUUUGA